rnacentral:sRNA from 1 species
ACCCGGGUACGAAGAUUCCAACAGGAUGAUGCUCACAUAUUCUGUGCCAUGGAGCAGAUUGAAGAUGAAAUAAAAGGUUGUUUGGAUUUUCUACGUACGGUAUAUAGCGUAUUUGGAUUUUCUUUUAAACUAAACCUUUCUACUCGCCCGGAAAAAUUCCUUGGAGAUAUCGAAGUGUGGGAUCAAGCUGAGAAACAACUUGAAAACAGUCUGAAUGAAUUUGGUGAAAAGUGGGAGUUAAACUCUGGAGAUGGAGCUUUCUAUGGCCCAAAGAUUGACAUACAGAUUAAAGAUGCGAUUGGGCGGUACCACCAGUGUGCAACCAUCCAGCUGGAUUUUCAGUUGCCCAUCAGAUUUAAUCUUACUUAUGUAAGCCAUGAUGGUGAUGAUAAGAAAAAGCCAGUGAUUGUUCAUCGAGCCAUCUUGGGAUCAGUGGAAAGAAUGAUUGCUAUCCUCACAGAAAACUAUGGGGGCAAAUGGCCCUUUUGGCUGUCCCCUCGCCAGGUAAUGGUAGUUCCAGUGGGACCAACCUGUGAUGAAUAUGCCCAAAAGGAUUUCCAGAAACUCUGACCCUUCUAAGUGGUCUGGGUGGAAUUGUGGUGGUGAUUCUGCUAGUAGACAGUGUAACUUCUGCGUCUACAAAAAGAGGAUAGGCAGUCACUGCUCACAUGGCUUUGCGUGAAAGCCCAACGGUACUGUCUCUGGCAGAGAUGAGGAAGGAACACCAGCUUCCUCCAACUUUCCUGUUCUUCCUUUGGGUUAAUGGCCACUGUAAGGAAA